GCGCAGCAGGCGAGAAACUUCACAAUGUGCGAAAGCACGAUGAGGGAAUCCCAAGUGCUUGCACGUAAGUGUAAGCUGUUUCUCUGUCUAAAACGCAGAGAGAGUAAGGGCUGGGUAAGACGGGUGCCAGCCGCCGCGGUAAUACCUGCAGCUCGAGUGGUGACCGUUAUUAUUGGGCCUAAAACGUCCGUAGCCGGUUUAAUAAAUGCCUGGGUAAAUCGGACCGCUUAACGGUUCGAAUUCCGGGUAGACUGUUAAACUUGAGACCGGGAGAAGUUAGAGGUACUCCUGGGGUAGAGGUGAAAUUCUGUAAUCCUAGGGGGACCACCAGUGGCGAAGGCGUCUAACUAGAACGGGUCUGACGGUGAGGGACGAAGCCCU
rnacentral:rRNA from 1 species